rnacentral:rRNA from 1 species
CGUGCAGGCGGCCACCGCAAGUUGAAUGUGAAAUCCCCGGGCUUAACCCGGGAAGUGCGUUCAAGACUGCGGGGCUUGAAUACGGGAGAGGAUCGUGGAAUUCCUGGUGUAGAGGUGAAAUUCGUAGAUAUCAGGAGGAACACUCGUGGCGAAGGCGACGGUCUGGACCGAUAUUGACGCUGAGACGCGAAAGCGUGGGUAAGCAAACA